rnacentral:rRNA from 1 species
AUUGAACGCUGGCGGCAUGCCUUACACAUGCAAGUCGAACGGUAACAGGUUAAGCUGACGAGUGGCGAACGGGUGAGUAAUACAUCGGAACGUGCCCAGUAGUGGGGGAUAGCCCGGCGAAAGCCGGAUUAAUACCGCAUACGACCUAAGGGUGAAAGGGGGGGAUCGCAAGACCUCUCGCUAUUGGAGCGGCCGAUGUCAGAUUAGCUAGUUGGUGGGGUAAAAGCUCACCAAGGCGACGAUCUGUAGCUGGUCUGAGAGGACGACCAGCCACACUGGGACUGAGACACGGCCCAGACUCCUACGGGAGGCAGCAGUGGGGAAUUUUGGACAAUGGGCGCAAGCCUGAUCCAGCCAUGCCGCGUGCGGGAAGAAGGCCUUCGGGUUGUAAACCGCUUUUGUCAGGGAAGAAAUCCUUUGGGUUAAUACCUCGGGGGGAUGACGGUACCUGAAGAAUAAGCACCGGCUAACUACGUGC